AAGGCUUUAAGUUAUUUAAACUAUUAUCCUUCAAAGUUAAAAAUAUAAUUUUCGUUGUAAGCCUUA
rnacentral:tRNA from 1 species